rnacentral:rRNA from 1 species
UUAUUGGAGAGUUUGAUCCUGGCUCAGGACGAACGCUGGCGGCGUGCCUAAUACAUGCAAGUCGAGCGGAGCUUAUCCUU